rnacentral:rRNA from 1 species
GAUGAACGCUGGCGGCGUGCCUAAUACAUGCAAGUCGAGCGAAUGGAUUAAGAGCUUGCUCUUAUGAAGUUAGCGGCGGACGGGUGAGUAACACGUGGGUAACCUGCCCAUAAGACUGGGAUAACUCCGGGAAACCGGGGCUAAUACCGGAUAACAUUUUGAACCGCAUGGUUCGAAAUUGAAAGGCGGCUUCGGCUGUCACUUAUGGAUGGAUCCGCGUCGCAUUAGCUAGUUGGUGAGGUAACGGCUCACCAAGGCAACGAUGCGUAGCCGACCUGAGAGGGUGAUCGGCCACACUGGGACUGAGACACGGCCCAGACUCCUACGGGAGGCAGCAGUAGGGAGUCUUCCGCAAUGACGAAAGUCUGACGGAGCAACGCCGCGUGAGUGAUGAAGGCUUUCGGGUCGUAAAACUCUGUUGUUAGGGAAGAACAAGUGCUAGUUGAAUAAGCUGGCACCUUGACGGUACCUAACCAGAAAGCCACGGCUAACUACGUGCCAGCCGCCGCAGUAA